UGUUAUGAUUUUGUAUGUUUGCUUCUGGCUGUUUCUUCUGAUAAACAGAGGGUCGUUCUUACCUGUGAAAGAACAUGGCUGAAUGUGUUGUUUAACUCUCUGAUAAAAUGUGUGCAGUCAGUCACAUGCCUGAUUGAACUUAAUUACUAGGGGGAAACAAAGCACUGAAAUUCUGGAAAGUUUUAGAUCUUCUUGUUAAAGCAUUUUGUAUGCCUUGUUUGAUUUUUUCUUUUCUGUGUAAUUUAAGAAUAAAAGAGGUGUUUUUUUGUUUUGUUUUAUUUUUUUAAUACCACAUAGCAGACUAAGGUCAAAUUUUAAUUUUAAAAAAUCUAAUUGUAUUUUUGGGGGUAGUUGAAGUUACAAUGAAGUAAACCGUAUUAUCUCUGUGUGAUAUGGAUGUUAAAAGUCUGGGGGCAGUGGCUUUGUUUUGGCAUUUUAGCUCAGGGUGAAGUUUUGGGACAACUCAGUCAUAGCUGUUGCUCAUUGGCUAUUCGGUUGGUUUUUCUCUCUCUCUCGGUUUUUUAAAGUUAAUGAAAUUGUAUUAAACAUUUCAUUUUGGAAACCAAAUAGAAGUUUAAGUAAAAUGAAUGGUGAUUUAGAUAAUAAGGAAAAGUGAAUGUUAGAUUAUUUAGAUAACAAGUAAAAGUGCAUAUUAAAUAGAAAGGAAGAAAGACUAGAAUGAUUCAUUAUAAUUCACACUAGAAACUUGUUCUGAGUAACAACCUUAGAAGUAAAGCUGUCUUGUAAGGAAACAUAGUUAUUUCAAUUUUGUGUAAAAAGAAAAAGUGAAGAGUAUUGGCCUUCCUUCUGUAUUACUGUUCUUAAAAUUUGCUUGCUUUGAUUAAAAACCUUCUGUAAAUGAAAAGAUUGCUCAGUCUUUACCUGAAGUACUUGUCAUUGUAGUUAUGAGAUUUUGGCUGGCGAGUAUACAUCCUGGUGUGCCUUAAAGUUCUAGGCUUUCUGUAAAGCUGAGUGCAGUAGUAUUUUACUUCUGAAACAUAUUUAUGAAGAUAAAAUUAGAAUCUGCAAUGAUUCCAAAAAAUAAGGUUUUUGGAUAUAAAACUUGCCAUAUCAUUUCUUGCUGAUCAAAAUAAUAUUUAGCUAGUUUUUUGAGAAUUUGCUGUACACUUUCUAAUUGCUUGAAGGUCUGUCAUAUUAAAGGGAAGAUAGGCAAUCAGUUAUUAUUUCUGACUCUUUUGUAAGGAUUGUUGAUAUUAACAGAUCUCAAUUUUGCGGUCUCAGGAGAAGGGCACAGCGGACAUUUUACCAAUUCAGCUGAGCCAUUUGCUAUCAUCUUUGUUUGCAUAUUGCUGGUUUAGUCAGCCUUUGAGUAAGCAAAGGCUGUAUUUACUUGUAGUCUGGUCUGUGUGAAAAAUCUAAUGAAGACUUUUCUAUUUUUUUUUUUUUUUAAUUUUUAAAGGUGGUGAUCCGUAAGAGAAAAAUUAAGAGGCACUCAAAUAAGCGGCAUAAUUAAGAUCUUAUUUAAUAAAGAGAAGUAGAGGAAUUCGGUUUCUUAAAAUUAAGAAGCUGGUGCACUUUAAAUAAAAUAGAUAUUGUUUAUAUAUUUUCUUAUGUGAUAAAGAGUGAAGUGGGGCUUCAAGGGAAGGGAAAAGGGGGGAAAAAAGGAGAGAAGCAAGAAAAGACCAGAAAAACUUAUUAAGUCAUUGCCUCCCCACUUUUUUCCUUCUCUAAGGUUGAAUGUAAGUUUGAACUGAGUCAUCAGAAUUAAAUUUAGGAUUACCGAUUUAUAGAAUUUUAACGCUGAAAGUGACUGAAGAUUGUCCAACUACCUUACUUUUAUAGGUGAAGGAACAGUGGCCCACAGAGGUCCUGAUUUUCUCUAGGUCACACAGUACCUCCAUGACUGGGCUUCCCAGUCUGGAACUGCUUGUGCCAGUCCACAAGUGUUGCUUUGUUUGAAAUGCUCUGUAUUUCCUUAAGGGUAAAUAAAACCUUAAUUAAGAUGUUUGGUGAUAAUCUUGGUGAUAAGUUGCAACCAAAUGGAUCAACCCAUGAUUUUGAAAAUGUAGUUAGUUUUCUUUUUCAUCAGAAAGAUGAGGCAUUCAUUUUAUUUCUACAACUUUUUGUUUUUCACUGUUAGAAUUUUUUUGUUCACGACAUUGCUUAUUUAAGAUGGCUUUAGAUGGAGUUGGGAAUUUAAUUUGAGCUUCUAGAUACAAAGACAGUUUUAUUUCUGCUUUAGUUUUUCCUCAUUAUUUUAGGAGGGCAAAUACUGUUUAAUGUGAUACCUUGUUGUACUAAAGUAUGUGUAUGUAAAACUUUGCAUGUGAAUUUACAAAAUCCAGAGGUAUCUAAGCUUUAACAUUAUUACCUUAAAUUUGACCUUACUAGAAGGUAAUAAUCUCAUUUUAUUUGUCUUUGUCAUAUCUUUUCCUCCUCCUUUCAGAGAAGAGAAUUGUUGGUAUAUACAAAAUUUUUUGUCUGUUAAAUUUUUGGUGUAUUUUACUGGCAUGGUUGGAAAUUUUCUAGGUCUGAUAUUUGGAUUUUUUUUUUUUUUUUGAAACUGAGUUUUGCUCUUGUUACCCAGGCUGGAGUGCAAUGGCGCGAUCUCGGCUCACCGCAACCUCCGUCUCCUGGGUUCAGGCAAUUCUCCUGCCUCAGCCUCCUGCGUAGCUGGGAUUACAGGCACGCGCCACCAUGCCCAGCUAAUUUUUGUAUUUUUAGUAGAGAUGGGGUUUCACCAUGUUGACCAGGAUGGUCUCCAUCUCUUGACCUUGUGAUCCACCCUCCUCGGCCUCCCAAAGUGCUGGGAUUAUAGGCGUGAGCCACCGCACCCGGCCUUGAUAUUUGGAUUUUUUAAAUUACUUUAUGCAUAACUGCUGAAUCUCCAAAAUUUCUGAGUGCCCUAACUUGGUUCAAUAUAAAAUCCUCCACAGUGUGGCCAUCAUUGUCCUAAGCAACAAAAAGCAAUAAAGGCUAGAAACAUGGGCUUUAUCCUCAUAAACUUAAAUUCUUGUUGGGAAAACAGAGCUUGUUAUCAAGUGAAGUAAGUAAAAAAUAGAACCAAUCACUGACUAAGUAAAUUCAGGUUCAGAUUGCCUAGAGAUAAAAGAUGGCAGAAACUUACAAUAUUCAGGAGAGUUUAUCUUGAAGGAGUGAUGAAUGUUGAAGGUUGAAUAGCAUUAAUCUAUGUUAAGAAGAGUGUCUUCAUCAAUAAGAAAUAAGAAUAUAAACUGUUUGAGAGAAGAGAGGUUUUGUUCUGUUUUUCUGUCUUUUUCAACCUUUGACAAAGUACCAAGCACAUAUAAGUAGACAGGUAUUAUUUUCUGUAUUAAACCUUUGGCUAUUCUUUUUAGCCAUCUUAUAUGACAAAUUCAGUUAGCCAUAUUUCUGAAGUUAAAGAUGCACAUCUUUUUUUUUUCUGAGAUGGAGUUUUGCCCCUGUUGCCCAGGCUGGAGUGCAAUGGCAUGAUCUCAGCUCACUGCAAUCUCUGCCUCCCAGGUCCUAGCAAUUCUCCUGCCUUAGCCUCCCAAGUAGUUGGGAUUACAGGCGUGUGCCACCACACCCAACUAAUUUUGUAUUUUUACAAAAUUACAAAACCAACAUGGGGUUUCUUCAUGUUGGUCAGGCUGGUCUUGAACUCCUGACCUCAUGAUCCACCCACUUCAGCCUCCCAAAGUGCUGGGAUUACAGGCAUGAGCCACUGCACCCAGCCAAAGAUCACACAUCUUUGAAAAGUGUGUGGCUUUCAGCUUAAUCUCUGACUGGUGUCUGCGUGUUGUAGCCAUUCAAAGAAAAAAAUAACAUUUAUGUGAUAGUAUUACCUUUAAAGCUGUAGUCGUCAGCCUUUGGUUUCACAAAGGGUCAUCCAGUUUUAACUCAGAAAUUCCGAUUCAUUAGGUCUAGGGUUUGCUUAAACAAUCAGCAUUUUUUUACUGUGUACCCUAGAUGAUUAGGAAGCAGGUGCUUAGACGCCACACUUUGAGAAAGAGAGUUUACAGGUUUAAGGCUAUGAAGAGAAAUUUGUUAUUUUGCAUUUAAAUAUUGGGAAGUUUUAGGCAUCAAUGCUCUUUUGAAGCCCAUAGCCACUAGUAAGGAAGGAAAGCAACUAGGGUACUUUAUUCUCAGUAUUAGAACCCAGUUGGGCCCCUUUCCCAUCCCAGUUAUCCCUUUCUCUAGUCCAUUUUUUUGUGUGCUAUGUGUUGUUCAGCUCUAGGGCUGGCCUGCUUGCUUUUUCUCUGAUCCACUCCCCAACGUACUGCUGUAUUGACCACAAUAAAGUAAUUUUUGUUUUUUAAUGUAAUUAACCCAUUUUUAUUUCUCAGCGAACUCUUUCAAUGUUGUUUUGCUUCCAUUUGUUGCUUCUUGGCUUCCCUCUUCAUCCCCUUAUUCCUGGGGCUCUAGGAAAAACAUCCCCUUACCGAUUUAGGGUGGCAUUUACAGUCUUUUGAAAGCUCUUCUCUCUUGAGACAUACACUAUUUAUUAUUUGUAAUAUUUUUCUUUUGUUUUUUUUUUUUUUGUUGGCGGGGGGCAGGGACUUAAAGACCAGUGUGAUAGUAUAUACUUGUUUAAGUCAGGGAGGACGUAACUUUUUUAACCAUAUAAUGCUUGGAUAUGAUUUUUAAAGCUUCUUCAGAUAUGUAACUGCAUCAUUGAUUGCAUAUUUGUAAGUUUUGCCUAAUAUUACAUCUCAUCUAAUGGGACAUCGUUAGGUAUUCACUGACUUGUAUAAAUGGGAAGAGAAGUCCCCUCAGUUGAACGGUUUGAAGAUAAUCACUGCUUCCAUCAGUUAGCUGGAAUAGGCCAGGCACGGUGGUUCAUGCCUGUAAUCCCAGCACUUUGGGAGGCCAAGGUGGGCUGAUCACGUGAGAUCAGGAGUUCCAGACCAGCCUAACCAACAUGGAGAAAUUCUGUCUCUAUUUUAAAAAAAUACAAAAAUUAGCUAGGCAUGGUGGUGCAUGCCUGUAUCCCAGCUACUCAGGAGACUGAGGCAGGAGAAUUGCUUGAACCCAGGAGGUGGGGGUUGCAGUUAGCUGAGAUCUCGCCACUGCACUCCAACCUGGGCAACAAGAGCGAGACUCCAUCUCCAAAAAAAAAAAAUUAGCCAGAAUAUUUUGUUCCUUUACUUAGGAGCUGCUUCAUAUAAAUGGUUGAAAUUAAAUUAGUAAGAUUAUUGAGUCAGCUACAGUGAUUAGGACAGUUUUCAACUAUCUGAACAAUCUUUUUUCCAUUAGUGUGGAGAACCUACAAAAGAGUAUUUUGUGUCUUGUCAAAUGAGCUGUAUACUAUAAUAAAAAUGGCUGUUGAGCAGUACUACAAAUGUCUUUUCUGGUCGUGGUUCUGAGCACCCUAAGUUAUUAUAUGAGAAAAAAUAACUCAUUGUGUGCUAUUUGCUUUGGAUGUAUAUUUUCUAUGCAGAAACGUUUUGAUUCCUUCACUUCCAGGUAUUAAUAUUCUUAUAGUCAGAGCUCUCUUGCUUUUUAUAGUUUAUAUGAAGAUUGGUUUAACAAUUUUUAUAUUAAAAAGUUAUCAGGGGGCCGGGCGCGGUGGCUCAAGCCUGUAAUCCCAGCACUUUGGGAGGCCAAGGCGGGUGGAUCACAAGGUCAAGAGAUCGGGACCAUCCUGGUCACCAUGGUGAAACCCCCUGUCUACUAAAAAAUACAAAAUAUUAUCUGGGCAUGGUGGCACACGCCUCUAAUCCCAGCUACUCGGGAGGCUGAGUCUGGAGAAUUGCCUGAACCCAGGAGGCGGAGGUUGCGGUGAGCUGAGAUCGCGCCAUUGCACUCCAGCCUGGGUAACAAGAGCGAAACUCCGUCUCAAAAAAAAAAAAAAAAUAAUAAUAAUAAUAAUAAAAAGUUAUCAAAGUGGUAUAUGCACACCAUUCAAAAUUAAUUGAUAGGUCUAUAAGGAAAAGCAGCCUCCCUCCUCUACCUCUUCUCACUCUCAGUCCUUCUGCCCAAAGGUAACCACUUAGAGAAGUAGUUUUUAUUUUUUGUGUUUUCAUGUGAUUUGUCCUUGUCCUGUGUUCUACUCUGUAUAUUAGAAGCUCUUCAAAGUAGCAGGCACCAGUAUGACUUUACACACUGCAAUAUUAAUAGAUGCCCUGUCAUAGAGUGAUCGUUAUGUUUGCUGUUACAUGGUGCAAUCUUAAAAAUCUAAAUAUAAUUGAAGAAAAUUAGUUUCUGGGUUUAGAAAACAUCCUAUAAAUAGAAAAACUAUAAAUUUGAUAAUUAAAAGAGGUAUUGAUUUAAUAAUUUAUGUACAUCUUAUUUUCAUUUUUAUUUUUAUUUUUUAUUUUACUUUAGGUUCUGGGGUACAUGUACAGGUCAUGCAGGGUUGUUGCAUAGGUGCAUACCUAACCAGGUGGUUUGCUGCCUCUAUUUCCCCUUUGACUAUAUCUGGCAUUUCUCCCCAUUUUAUCCCUCCCCACCCCCCACUGUCCCCCUCAGCCCCCACAAUUGCCCCCAGUGUGUGAUGCUUCUUUCCCUGAACCCAUGUGUUUUCAUUGUUCAACACCUACCUAUGAGUGAGAACAUGCAGUGUUUAGUUUUCUGUUCUUGUAUCAGUUAGCUGAGAAUGAUGGUUUCCAGAUUCAUCCAAGUCCCUACAAAGGACACGAACUCAGCAUUUUUUAUGGCUGCACAGUAUUCCAUGGUGUGUGUGUGUCACAUUUUUUUUUUUUUUGUCCAGUCUGUCAUUGAUGGGCAUUUGGGUUGGUUCCAGGUCUUUGCUAUUGUACACAGGGAACACGGGGCUGCAGUGAACAUAUGUGUACAUGUGUCUUUAUAGUAGAACAGUUUAUAGUCCUUUGGAUAUAUACCCAGUAAUGGGAUUGCUGGUUCAAAUGGAAUUUCUAUUUCUAGAUCCUUGAGAAAUCGCCAUACUGUCUUCCACAAUGGUUUAACUAAUUUACACUCCCACCAAUUGUGUAAGAGUGCUCCUAUUUCUCUACAUCCUCUCCAGCAUCUGUCUCUAGAUUUUUUAAUGAUCGCCAUUCUAACUGGCAUGGGAUGGUAUCUCAAUGUGGUUUUGAAUUGCAUUUCUCUAAUGACCAGUGAUGAUGAGCAUUUUUUCAUAUUUUUGUUGGCCUCAUAUAUGUCUUCUUUUGAAAAGUGUCUGUUAAUAAUUUAUGUACAUCUUAUUUUUUAUAUCAAAAUACCGAAUGGAAGUUUAGUAUUGUAAUGGGGCAAUUCAUUCUUUUUUUCUUUAAAAAUGAAAUGUGCAUGUAGGAGAAUAUAUAAAACAUAUAGAGCUUAAAUAAAAUUAUAAAGUGUUACAAUGGAUAAACAUUUUAUAAUUUUAUUUAAACUGUGUUGCCCCACAUUUAUAAGUAUCUUGAGAAACAACCCAGGUUAAGAAAUAUAGAGUAUGUCUAUUACUCUAGAAAGCCCCCACUCCUAUUCAUAUUUGUUUCCUUUAAAAAAUAACUACUAUCCUGACUUUCGUGAUAAUCUUUUCUUUAUAGUUUUACCUCUUUGAACUUUAAACACAUGAAUCACACCAUAUAGUCUGUAGUGACUUUUCUUCUUUCAUUCAGCUCCAUGGUUUAUCUUACUUUUCCUUGCAAUAUAGUAUUCCGUUGUUUGUCUAUACCAUAAUGUAUUUAUUCUCUCUCGUUGAUGGCAUUAGAUUAUUUUCAGCUUGAGAACAUUUGUGCAUGGUUCCCUGGAACCUAAAUUUAGAAGUUCUCUAGGGCCAGUAUCUUCACAGAGAGGGAUGUGAAGGCCUUGCAGUGAGAAUGGAGAGGAUGGAUAGUUUAAUGUAAUUUAGAGUUCCUCAUUAUCUUUCCUAGGAACAGACAGCUGCCAGUGAUGACUUUUACCCAUUCAUAAUCUUUCUGUGGUGUAUUCUCUUGGGGUGUAAAUCCUCCAGGACCCUAAACAGAUAGGCAGUUGAUGCAUUUCAGAGUAAGCUAUAGUCAUCAAUAUAUUUGACCCCGAAAGCAGUUCAGUAUGCUUGUCAUUUAUUAACUAGAGUUCAGUUAUUUCAAACAUAAUUUUCAAUAAAAAAAAUUUAAUAGAAUAAAUACCUGUUCCCAAUUAUGCAUAUAAAAGCAAUCCUGCCAUAUUGAUACAUAUGUAGUAAAGUUGUAAAUAUAUGUAACAGGGAAGAAAUCAAUUUUAGAAUAGUUGAGGAGUGGGUACUGUAACUUAUGCCUAUAAUUUGAGCACUUUGGAGAGCCUAAGUGGGAGGAUCACUUGAGGCCAGGAAUUUGAGACCAGCCUGGGUAACACAGCAAGACCUUGUCUCUACAAGUAGAAAAAAAUUUUUUUUUAAAAUUUUCCAGGCGUGGUAUCAUCAUAUUCCUGUAAUUCAGCUACUCGAUAAGCUGAGGCAGGAGGAUUGCUUGAGCCCAGGAGUUAAGGCUGCAGUGAAAUAUGAUUGUACAACUGUACUUCAGCCUGGGUAACAGAACAAGAAUCUGUCUCUUAAAAAAAAAAAAAAAAAAAAAACAGAAGAAAAGAAAAGCAAACUUAGAACAGUCAAACAAGGGAUAAAACGAGACUGGAGAGGGAUAUUGGAGAUUUUAACUGUAGAUGACCUUUUUUUCUUUAAAAAAAAUGUAAACAAACUAUGGCAAAAUAUUAAUGUAAAGCUAGGUGGUAUAUAGACGAAUGUAUUCUCUUUUUCCUCUUUGGUGGAACUGUUUAAUAAUACUUUUUUUAUUUUGAGAUGGAGUCUUGCUCUGUCACCCAGGCUGAGUGCAGUGGCACAAUCUCGCCUCACUGCAACCUCCGGCUCCCAGGUUCAAGCAAUUCUCCUGCCUCAGCCUCCUCAGUAGCUGGGAUUAUAGGUGCCCACUAUUGCCCCCAGCUAAUUUAUUUUUGUAUUUUUUUAGUAGAGAUGGUUUUGCCUUGUUGGCCGGGCCGGUCUUGAACUCCUGACCUCAAGUGAUCUGCCCACCUCGGCCUCCCAAAGUGCUGGGGUUACAAGUGUGAGCUACACGCCCAGCCUCAUAAUACAUUAUUAUCUGUAAGCCAUAGUUUAUUUUUACCCCACAUUUAUAGGUAUCUUGAGAAAUAAUGUUUAAUUUGGUAGUAAAAGUUGACUUUUAAAAAAAGUUGUAAAUAAACUUUGCAUCUGAACCAGGGGCACUGACAUGCACCUGUAGUCCCAGCUACUUGGGAACUUGAGGUGGAAAGAAUGCAUGAGCCCAGAAGUUUGAGAUCUGGGCAACACAGUGAGACCCUCCUAUCUCAAAAAAACAAAAACUCUGCAUCAGUUAAAAAUGUGGCCAAGCACGGUGGCUCAAGCCUGUAACCCCAGCACUUUGGGAGGCCAAGGCAGGUGGAUCAAUUGAGCCCAGGAGUUUGAGACCAGUCUGCAAAAUAUGGUGAAAUCCCCGUCUCUGCUAAAAAUACAAAACUAAGCCCUGCAUGGUGGUGCGUGACUGUAGUUCCAGCUACUUGGGGAGCUUGAGCCCAGGAGGUCAAGACUUUAGUGAGCCAUGUUUGUGCCACUGCGCUCCAGCCUGGGCAACAAAGUAAGACCCUGUAUCAAAAAAAAAAAAGUUAAGUGCCUUUUUCAGUGAAGGGGAUUAGAGAUGUAAGUGUUAGAAAACUGUGCGUCUGUCCCAGGUAACUAAGAUCUAGGCAUACUUCUGGAUGGAUAAAUGGUAAUUUCCAAUUGAGAUCCAUGAACAAUUUGAACAAAUUGGAGCUCUAGUUACCCAGAAGUAAUUUAGUUAGGUUUCAUCUUUAGAAUUAUCCCCCAUUCAAAUAUUUUUUGAAAACAUUUCAAUAUGAAAAUAUUCAUAAAAUAAUAUAGUAUUAACACCCAUGAACUUUUAAGUAGCUAAUAAAUUGUUGCAUCUAACAAGAUUUAUUGGUAUAGUCAACGUUUCAUGUUGCUUCCUGACCAGUGUUUCAUGUAGCUUCCUUAGAAUUCUUACUGUAAUAAUAGCAAUUCCUGCAUCUUUAGUGAUUUUUGUUGUUGUUGUUAUAAACUAGAUAUAUACUCUUCAGGUUAAGCUUUCAAAAUUUAACAAUGUAAAUGCAGGAAUUGCUAUAAAAAGUGAAAACAUAGAUCUUAACCCAGGUUUUUAAUUUCAUUAUCCCUUGGCUCUCUUUCCUGAAAUAUUUCCCACAGUGUAUGUAUAAGCAGUGGCAUGGGCAAAGAACAAGUGGAAAUAGAAGUUUAAGAUUUCCUUGUCUGAGGGUUCCUUUAAAGUCAUGUAGUUCAGGGGUCUCUUAAAUUUUUAUUAUGUAUCUUUCGAUCUGUUUUAUUAUUGAUUCAUUCAACAGUUAUUUUCUGUUACAUAUUAUUCUUGAUGUUGGGAUAUAACAAUGAACAAAAUAUAAAAACUUCAUAAAUUAUAUGCAUAUAUUCCACUACUUAGCUUCCAUUUAAACAUUUAUUAUCAUGUAUAUAACUAUUAGAGAAAAUUAUAGAUAAAAUAGUGGUUUUCAGUGUGCUGCAUGUGAUCUACUAAGGCAAGGAAAGUGUACCUUGGUAGGUCACAUGUAUCACACACCUCACACACAUACACCCCACACCUAUAUGUAUGCUUUUUUUUUUUAAAGAUAGGGGUGUAGCUCUCUCGCCUAGGCUGGAAUACAAUGGUAGAGUCGUAGCUCACUAUAGCCUCAAACUCCUGGGCUCAAGCAAUCCUCUGCCUCAGCCUCCUAUGUAGAAUUACAGGUGCAUAUCGCUAUGCCACACAAGUUUCUUCCUUUCUGUUCUUUCUUUCUUUCUUUCCUUUUCUUUCUUUUAUUUCUUUCGAUAGAUAGAUAGAUAGAUAGAUAGAUAGAUAGAUAGAUAGAUACAAGGUCUGGUUCUGUUGCCCAGGCUGGUCUCAAACUCCUGGGCUCAAUCAAUCCUCUUACCUUGGCUUCCCAAAGUGUUGGGAUUACAGGUAUGAGCCCCCAUGCUCGGCCCAAAACAUAGGUAUUUAACAGCAUUAUUUUUUACCAAGGAAAAAACAAUUAUCUCAUAGAGUUUUUUUUCAAUAUGCUAUUCUGAGAAAAGACUCCUUUAAAGGGCAUAUAAUAAAUAACAAUAGCCUAUAAGUAAAAAUUUAUGUAUUGAUAAAUAUGACCUAUGAAAACAGAAGCUUUUUGUGGUCUCAAUAAAUUUUAAGAAUACAAAGGGCUUUGGGAGGCCGAGGUGGGUGGAUCACAAGGUCAAGAGAUUGCGACCAUCCUGGUCAACAUGGUGAAAUCACGUCUCUACUAAAAAUAUUAAAAAAAUUAGCUGGGCAUGGUGGCAUGUGCCUGUAAUCCCAGCUACUCAGGAGGCUGAGGCAGGAGAAUUGCCUGAACCCAGGAGGUGGAGCUUGCAGUGAGCCGAGAUCUCGCCGUUGCACUCCAGUCUGGGUAACAAGAGCGAAACUCCAUCUCAAAAAAAAAAAAAAAAAGAAUAUAAAGGGAUCUUAACACCAAAAAGUUUGAGAACUGCGCUAUGGCAACCAGUAACGUAAAUAUUAUUCUUAAAUAGAGUUUUACAUUAUUAAAUUGAAGUGAAAAAAAAAAGAGCUUUCUAAACCAGAAUAACUAACGUAAGAACAUUAAAUUGAAGUUCCUUCUUCCCAAUGAGAAAAAUCAUAGACCAUCAUGUUUGCCAUUAAUUUACUUGUAUCUCCUAGCCCUUUCCACAAAGAAUAACCAGUUCUUUAAAAUUGGGAAGAAUAUUAAAUUAUUACAUAUAAAAUUAAAAUAUUAAACCUUCUAGCAAAGGAAUGAAAAUUAAAAUGAAAUAGCCCCCUUUGUUUGACAGUAGCUCAAGUAUUGUGGGUUGUUGCAAAUGACAUUGAAUGUCUAUGCAGGUAUUCUGUUGCUAACAGUAGAAACUGGAAAAAUCUUCUGCAGGGCAGAUGGCAUUGUUAUAUGAAAUGCUUUGAAAAUCUACGUGCCUUUUGAUAGAAUUCAGUUCUUCAUAGGUAUCCUGAAGAAAAUUUAAGGAUGGAACCAAAGAUUGAGUUAAAAGGAUAUUUGAAUCAUUGGUUGUGAUUGUGCAGCAGUUCUCAAACCUUAUACUUUUUUUUCAAACUUUAUGCUCUUUAUAUUGUCUUUAUACUAUUAAAAUUGAGGCUCCCAAAGAGCUUUGAUUCAUGUUAACUAUUAGAAAUUAAAAAAGAAACUUGAAUGAAUUAAUAUAUUUAUUUAAAAAUAAUAAGCCCAUUACAUAUUAGCAUAAUUAUUUUUAUAAAAGAUAAGUUUGAGCCAGGUAUGGUGACCCAAGCCCAUAGUCCAGCUACUUGAGAAGGUGAGGGAGGAAGAUUGCUUGAGCCCAGGAGUUCAAGUCCAACCUGGGCAACAUAGCAGGACCCUGUUUAAAAAAACAAAACAAAACACAGUACAAAAAAGACAAAUAUGUUUUCCAAAACAAAAGCUGAACGGAGAAGGGUGCAAAUCUUUUAUUUUUGACUUCACAGAAGACAGCUAUAUUCUCAUAUCUACUUCUGCAUGAAAUAUGUUGGAAUAUGUUACUUUUAUUGAAGAAUAUGAAGAACAUUCAGCCUCACACAAAUGUCUAGUUGCAAAAAGUAGAUGUAUUUUAAUGGCCAAUUGAGAUAAUUCUGGAUAUUCUUCGAUACUACACCAAAGCUCAUCAACAAAUGCUAGUUUUUUUUAAAGGUCAGUACAAUGAGAUUUUGAAAACCUAUAAAUGAACUUUCUGUCCCCUGGAACAUUAAAAUCCUUGUGGUCUGUCUUGUACUUUGAAUGGAUUGAUUUUUUUAACCUAAGCAAGAUUUUGUAACAUCUUGUGUGAGUUAUUUGGGUAUUCCAAAUGUUGACAUAAUAUCAAAAUCACACCAGACUCAUCAGAAAAGCCUUUUAAGUGUUUUGAGAAGCCAGUGGAGUCAAAGUGGCAGAUACAUACAAGUUUUCCAAAAUUCUGAUUUUCAGUUAAAAGCUUUCAUUUUAUAAUUGGUGACAAAUGUUUUUGGUUGUUUACCUUGAAGUCAUGGGCUUGCUGUAUUCAUUUUUGGAAAAAUUGCUGCCAGAUAUCCAAUUCUGAAUAAUAAUUAGUUCUUUUAAGUAAAAAUAUUUCAUGAAAGCAGCAUCUAGUUUACCUCACAGAUCAAAGAAUACUAGCAUAAAUGCUUUUUCUCAAGACAACAAUGCUAUUUCUAUUUAUGCCAGAAGUCGUGCUUCACUCAUACUUCCCAUUUUGUCAAUCAGAAUAUUAAAAAGAUACGUAUUUAAUGGUUGAGAUUCAAGAACAUAAAUCAUCUUUACUCUUCUUCAAAGACAUUCUUAAGUGAAGCUGCCUUUCUAAAAUGUGAGUGCCCAGUGACAAGGAGUAGACUUGAGUGGCCUGAGGGACAGCUUUGGUCAGGGCUGAGGCACUCACAGUUUCAUCUGUCUUUGCUUUUGCAUCAUUGGUGCAAUUGUCAACACAGUGGGAAAGCCAGAUAAUACCUCGGCGUUGUUAUGAUCUUGUGAUCAAAGAGUUGUGAUCUUGGGAGCCCCCUGAAAGGGUCUCUGGGUCCUUUGUGGGUCUGGGGAUGACAUUUUGUGAAUUACUGUUAAUAGUGCAACAUUAGAAAUACAAAUGUCUCAAAAUGAGUGGUCGAUUAAGUAAAUGAUGGUAUAGCCACACAAUUACAUGGCAGAAAUAUAAUUUUAUUAAAGUUCAUGUUAAAUAUAAGCUUAUAGCACAGUAUUUUCCUGUUUGGGGCACCUCUCAUGAGGAACUCAUCAUUCUUCCAAGAAAGUGAGGGUGUUGGUUCUGAGCCUCAGUGCUUCCAUUUAGUGGACGCCUUUGUCAUUAAGAAAAGGGAAGUUGAAAGGCAGAAGGCGGCAGUUACUCUUCUCCAGUAGGCUAAGGGGUGUUUGUACGGCAGCUUUAUUUUUAAAUAAUAGUAAAAGGAAUUGGCAGUGGUAUCAAUCAUUUUUAGAUGCUUUAUAAUUAUAAUAAUAAUAAUAUGUGGAAUCAAAUGAAGUUCCUCCAGUAGACUCAAUUCCUCUUCAGGCAUUUUCUGGUUUACUUUUUCCUGUUGUGUUCCUAAUUGAAAGAGCUUUCAGUUACUCCAUAUUAUUUAGCUUCAGCCUGAAUUUUAAAAGUGAGUUAUAAGUAGGUUAGAAGGAGACUGUUGAGUUGAGCCCCUCGGGCUUCCUGCUAAGACCUCCUCCACACAGGGUGUUCCUGAGCUGUAUUAUCUGUAGUCUGCAGCAGGGAGGAACACUUGGUAAGCGGCAUCAUUGAAGACAGGCUGCUUUGUGCAUCUGAGAUAUUUCUCUUUGUUAUAAUGGAUGCCUAGUAAUAAUCAUGGCUUGUCUUGAGUAAGGUUUAACAUUUUUCUAAGCACCAAUUUCUAGGGAGAGUUUGAUGUUUAAUAUUCCUUUCCAGAUAGCCAUUGUGUUUAUUCAGAAUCUUAUGUCUUAGAUAAACUUGUUAAAGUAUGCUGGAAGAAUAUAUACUAUAUGCUAUGUAUAUAAAGUUUUAAAAAAUACUACACAAAAUGUACGUAUAUACUAAAUUAUAAGGAAAAAUAACAUGAAGAUUUUAUAUUUAAGUUUGAUUAAUUAAUUCAAAUUAAUGUUAUGUGUGUUUUAGUUUGAAGGCCAACUUAAAAACUGUGUAUUUAGACACAAGAUUGUGUAAAUCAUUUUAUUCAGAAUGUUUUCAUGGUGCGAACAUUGCAAACUGGACAUUGUGUCUGAUCUUUUGAUCUAAUAGAUCAGAGAAAAACUUGCAUAUUGUUAUAGGAUAAUUUACAACAUGUUAGUCUUAAGAAUAAACUGAAAGGAAGAUGUAACACUUAUCUGACCUUGGUAGAACAGAACAGUUAGACAUCGUUAACUGUGUUUGAUUGUUGGGUAGGUGAUGGACGCUAGGUUCUCUGCAGCUGCUCUGAGACUCCUCCACUCCCUCCACUCCCUCCUGACCCUGUCCCCAUUUAGGGUUAUUUCACUAUGCAUCAGAGCCAGAGGAUAGGGCAGGGGAGCCAAUGUAUAAGGAAAUGGAUGAUUUCCUUCAUUCUUGCUUCAUGGUGUAGGGAACGCUUACUCCUUAUUCCCUAGAUAGUGGGGACAAUAUAUCUAAUAUAUUUACAAGUGAGAGCAGAGAUGUACUAAAGAAAUGCUAGGAAGGUACUAAUAACUCUUAGACUCCUAUAAAGAAUGAGCUAGAUCCUUCUGGUUGAAAAAUACUGGGUAAAAAUGAAAUCGUUUUUUCCAAGCCACUCAUUUAAUAAAUGUUAUUUCAGGAGCCUACUACCAUGCUUACAGCUGAUUAUUAGGUUUAUGUUCAGUUCUGUUUAGGAAGGAGAGGUCACAGGAAGCUCAAGAUGGACUUAUGUAUAGUAAAAUAUGAAGAGUCGUUUUGGACAUUGACCUAGAAUGGAAUAGCACUAUCCCCUGGUGGAAUUGUGAUUGUGGCAGCUUGCGCUUGUUAUAGCUUAGGUAAAUAUUGACCAAUAUGAAUGGAUAAGAUAGCUGCAUUUUGCCCAAGUUUAUGAUACAGAAUAUGAAUCAUGUGAGUAAUGAAUUGAAUUUAUUCUUAAGGAUUAUUAGUUUGGGAGGCGGCUUGGCAUGAUGAAAAGUGAACACCCCUUAGUUAUAAUUAACUGGAAGUUUGCUUAACAUGACUUAAGGAGGCAGGACUGACCUAUGGAGAACAGAGUUCUAUUUGGUUUGUGUAUAGUUGAAUAUAUACGAGUAAAUAACAUAAGCCAAGUUUGGGAUAUAGGAAAUGAGAAGGGAGUAGAGCUAGUUUGGCUGGGGGGGUGCAAAUUUUAAUCCAGGAGGGUGCUGAUAAGAAGCCAUAGUAAAAAUGACCAAAGAUCAAAGGUGCAAGUUACCAGUCCUGCUUUGCUGAUAGUUGCUUAAAGGUUUUUUGUGUUUUGGUUUCUUUCUUUUUUUUUUUUUUGUGGUAGUUUUUUUUAAAUAUAGGUAUAGCAGGAGUGUGGGGCACCUUAUAUCAAGGUGGACAAGUGUUACUUAUGUGAACAGUUGGAUAAAAUAGUUUGAGGCUUGUCCUGUUGUUUAGACACUUGGUUUUUUACUCAGUCAUGUGGUUUUCAAAUCUUAAUUUGUGUGGUGUUUGCUCCUAAGAAUACUUCUUCAAAAGACUAUAAAUGAGUCUUUGUAUGCAUAUUGAAUCUUAGAUCCCAACACUGGAAUCCUUUCCUGUGGGCUCUGUUUUCAUAAACACUCCUCACCAUUUAUAUGUUUCUGCUACUGUACUUCGAUAUAUUUUCAUACAAACUAUUGAACUAUUUAUAAAACAAGACAUAAAGAUGUAGCAGAGAAGGCAGGAAAUGCUUGACAUUUGUGUGCCAUAUCUUACUCUCUGCUUCCUGUCAGUUAAACCACGAUGAGAGGAACAGAGACACAGAUGUACAAUUGCUGCUUUAAUUUGCCACUGGGGAGACCAGUUAGGUAAAAAGCUUGUUUCAUUAAACUUGUGUCACUUGUUGAUUCGAAGGGCAUUGUAGGCUUGUUUGGUGUUAUAUGGAUUGUAUGCAUCAUGUGGCAAUUAGACGGUUGCCAUAGCACCUAAUAGGUACAUACAUCUUUUACAUAUUUAAAAGGUAUAGCAGGAGUGUGGGGCACCUUAUAUCAAGGUUGCCAUAGCACCUAAUAGGUACAUACAUCUUUUACAUAUUUAAAAGGUAUUUACUUUUGUGACAUUUUUUAGGCAAUAAAAAUUGGCAUUUGAAUUUGUGUGUAUUUGUAUAAAUUCACUGUAAAAUGUUAGGUUAAUAUUUUGAUCUUAAAAUUUUAGUAUCUAAUUAUAACUUUUAUAUAUUAGCAUUUCAGGAUUCUGUAAAACUUUCAAAGCAUUUUGUAGUUUACAAAGUAAAUUCUUGGUACAACUUCAAAAUGAAAGAUGAAUGGAAAGUUAUAGAGGUUGACUUCUCUCUGUAACUAAAUACAGUUGGUAAAUACAGUUAGUAAAUGACAAAACUACAACUUGAAUGCAGGGGUUCUGAUGCUAGAUCCUGUAUUCCUAAUGUUAGGGAAAGGUUUGUUUUCAUUAAAUAGCUAUUCUACCUGUUUCUCAGUGAUUUGAACUUUUAGGGUCACCUCUGCUUAUUCUUCCUAGAAUAUCCCCUACUCCUUUUCCUAUCAUGUUCUCUCUCCUUAGAAAAAAUAGAUGUUACUUAUUUCUAAACAAAUAGCCCACGUGUCACUUCCUUAUGAAGUUUUUUCAGGUUCUCACAGGGAUUUAUCCUUUUCUGUUCCAUUAUCUUUUGGUUGACUUGUUUAUUUACAUUGUUUUGUAGUUAUCUGUUUGCAUUUUUUCUUUUUAGGCAUUGAACCAUUUGGGGUCAAGGAUCAUAUCUUAUUUAUCUUUAUUUUUAUAUACCCAGUACAUAGCAUAUAGAUUUCAUUAAUACUUGUUGGAGGAAUAAAUACAUGCCUGAUAUUUAUUUUCUUUUUUCUAGAAUCACAAGCUGGCUAAAGAACUCUAACGUGGAUCUUUUCUACAAGUAGCCUUUAUGGUUUAUUUCUAAGAAAUAAUUUUAUUAUAAAAGUUAUUUCCUGCUUCAGCCCUAUCCACCCCCAGUUUGUUUUUGCUGUUUAUGGAAAUGAGAUAUCUUAGUGAAAUUAUUAGUGUUUUCAUCCUAGUCAAAAGUGGAGAUAAUAUAUUGGUCCAUUUAAAAGUGUAGCUAAAGAGCUUAAUUAUUUUAGAUUGCUAAGCAUCAAAAAUCUCUCACUUUUGGCUUUAAUCUGGAAAAAAAUGUCUAGACUUGCAUUCUAGUCUUGAUAUCUACACUGAAUAAAUGGAAACAAUAAUUCUCUUUACUACUUUUUGUCACCAAAUUUUUGUGUGUUGGUGAUUGGAGGGUCUCGUUUGGAGACCACCAAUUGCAGUGGUCUCGUCAGCAGAGCAGUGAUUUUUACAAGUAGGACUUCAGCUUAGAUCUGCCCAUUCUAGGAAUGUCUUAUAAAGUUUCCAUAUUAACAGUUUUUCCAGCUGAAAAUUGAUAGAAGUUACUAUAUUUUUAAAACAAAUCUAAAUGAUCAAAGUGAAAUCUAAGGAUUUGAUUUUUAAAGAUUGAAGGAAAAAUUAUGAAGCUAUAUGAGUUUAAUUUUUAAGGAGUUUUAGAAGCACCAAAUAGUUAUUUUGUUUAUUAAAACUUAGAUAGACAUGUGAAAAAUCGUUUCCAGGGUUUUUGAGUGUCCUUUUACAUGUGAGACCUCCCUUUAUUGUGCUGUGGGGGGGUGCUGAUGUAUUUAUAAGUCUGAAUCAGAAAAAUACAUGUAUAUAUGUCACUUUGAGGAUAGUCAGUGAAGCUUAGCUCACCACCAGUUGGUUCUGAGAAGCAAGUGCAUCCUGUGAAAUUCAAUAGAAUGCUAAAACAAACAUAGAAGACACUUAAAUUUUACCAUCUUAAUGAAGAAUUUUAAUAAGCAAAAAUUUUUAAGAAAAUAAAAUGUCCUUUGAUCUUGACCUAGUGACUUUCUAACACAUACUGUACUUAAUCUUUUAAAUUGUGUUUAUUAGUAACAUAUGGAAACAUUUAUUAUGUCUUUUUUUUCAAGCUUAGAAUCUUAGAGAUAGGAUAUAGUAAGUAAUUACUGAAUGACACGGGAGAAUGAACUUUGUGCCCAUUUCUGGUAUAGCAUACAUAUUACUGUGACUUGCAUUUGCCUUAGCUGAUAGACUGUGACCGCCUGUAGGGAAAGUCUUCUUAGCCACUUGUUGCUUUCCUACCCUUCUCCAGCAGGUAGGUCCCUAAAGAGUAUUGUUCAAAAGAAUAUAGACAAAACUGAUUUCUUUCUUUUUUUUGAAAUGGGGCUUGCAAUUUUUGUUUUGUUUUUCGAGAUAAGGUCUUGCUCUGUCACCCAGGGUGGAGGGCAGUGGCACCAUCAUGUCUCUCACCUCAGCCUCCCAAGUAGCUGGGACAACCAGCCCAUCCCACCAUGCCCAGCUGAUUUUUAAUUUUUGUAGAAAUGGGAUCUCGCCAUGUUGCUCAGGUUGGUCUCAAACUCCUGGCCUCAAAUGAUCCUCCCACUUUUGCCUCCCAAAGUACUGGGAUUAUAGGCAGCACCUGGCCCAGAUAAGAUUUCUGAAGGCUAUCUACUACUAAUAUAUAGGAAAAGACAAUAUAGAAAGAAUUAUUUCUUCUCCUCGAGGUAUUUCUCUUUCUAAAGAGGAUGUUUUAUAAAAUCUCAGUACACUUUUAUUUGUUGUCACAUUUCAGUUGGCUCAAAAUAAAAUUAAAUCAAAAUGAAGGCUUUGAGGUUACCCUCAAGUAAAUCAGCUUUACCUGGAACAAUCCGCUUUUGGAUUUAUCUGUAUCUAUUUCCUCCCAAGAUUUUGCCUUCCCCUCACCUUAUAUACUCACAGAUUGUCUCUGAAAGGUCAAAACAAAACAAAACAAACUUCUCCCCACAACUUUUCUUCCCCUCCUUAGUGCAGGAGAGGUCACGUGUUCUGUGUCCAGUUGUCAGGGCUUGGAGUGUGACUGGGAGUUAGGUAUCAAAGGAGAGAGGCAGAAGUUUCUCUUCAUGGGUUUUAUGAUAACAGCCUACAUUGCCUGACAAUCUCACCCCAACUUUUUUUUUUUUUGAAACAAGGUCUUGCUGUUUUACCCUGGCUGGAGUGAGUGGCUUUGUGAUCUCAGUGCAUGGUGUUGGGCUUGAACUGUUGGGGCUGAAGUGGGCUUCCUGCUUCAUCCCCCUGCUACAGGAGCGUGCCACUGCACCUGGCUUCACAUUUUUAAAGCAGAAUAUUUUGAGGGGGAACAGAAUGUUGUGAUUAAAAUCACUAGAUUCUAAGCUCUAAAAGGGCAGAAAUUUUGGUUGGUUGGUUCACUGCUGUAUUCCAGUACUCAGAACAGGGUCUCACACAUUAUAUCUAUGUUCUUACGCCAACCGUGCUGUUUUGGUUAUAACAGCUUUGUAGUAUAUUUUGAAGUCUUGUAGUGUGGUGCUUCCAGCUUUGUUAUUUGCUAUUUGAAAUCUUUUGUGGUUUCAUAAAACUUUUUCAAAUUUUUAAAAAUUUAUCAUAUUAAAAAAAAGAGAGAGAUGGGAGUCUCAUGUUGCCUGCGUUGGUCUCAAAUUCCUGGGCUCAAGUGAUCCUCCCAUCUUGGCAUCUCAAAGUGCUGGGAUUACAGGCAUGAGCCACCAUGCCCGGUCUCCCUAUAAAUUUAAAAACAAUUGUUUUUCCUAUUUCUGUGAAGAGUGUCUUUGAUAUUUUAAUACAGAUUGCAUUGAAUCUGUAGAUUGCUUUGAGUAGUAUCUAAUUAUUUAUUCUAUGACUUAUUAUUAUCAUCUCUUUCCUCAUCUCCUCGAGGAGGUGUCAGAUUUUUAUAUCUAUGCAGCGACAUCGGUAGUUUAUUAGAGAUGUUUAAGGAUGAAAUAAAAAGCAGCAUACCAUAUAUGCUUUACUUUGUAAACCAUAAAGAACUUAUUAGACAUUAGAUGUCACUAACAAAUAAUAAUAUAAAUAAGCCUUAUUGUGAUACUGUACAAUUCCCGAUGUGUCUUUAUAGUAUUUUUUUAAAUCUAGUAAGCGCCCGUUAAAUCUACUGAGACAACUUUGAAUUUUUGAACUUUCCAAGAGUACAACAAAGCCGUAAAGCAGAAAACACCUCUAAUAAAGAGCCAGGUUUGACCAGCACUUUGGGAGGUCUAGGCAAGUGGAUCACUUGAGGUCAGGAGUUCAAGACCAGCCUGGCCAACAUAGUGAAACCCUGUCUCUAUUAAAAAUACAAAAAUUAGCCAGGCAUUGCACCUGUAGUCCCAGCUACUCGGGAGCGUGAGGCAGGAGAAUCGCUGGAGCCUAGGAGGCAGAGGUUACAGUGAGCCGAGCUGGUGACAUUGUGCUUAGCCUGGCAAACAGAGUAAGACUCUGUCUCAAAACAAAACAAAGCCAGGUUCAGUGCAGCCUCAUUUGGUCAGCUAAAUAUUUUCCCAGAAGCAUCUUCUGAAUGUCACCUUGUAAGAAAAUGAAGAUUUUGUGAAUGCUGGCGAUAGUCUCUAUUUCGGUGACAAAGAAAGAAAGGUGGAUCUGUUAUUUAUAUCACAUCUUUCUUCAUUGAAUAACUAAGUCAGCAUCAUCUAUUCAAAAUAUUUAAUACUAACUGACAAGAUACAGUCAUCCAAAAAUGCAACCGUUCAUAUAUUUCAAAGUUACACUGGUGUUCAAGUGAAUCAUAGAUAGUUUUGAUGUUCAGUAGAAUAAUUUGUAAGAAGGAUUGUGUGGUAUUUAGUCUACAUUUUUGAAAAUCUUAUUUUCCUAUUUUUCCCCUCUUCCAAUUCUUAGGUGAAGAGCAAAAACAUGACAUAAAUUAAGUGGUUUAAAGAAUUUUAGGACAGGUGCAGUGGCUCAUGCCUGUAAUCCCAGCUACUUGGCGGGCUGAGGCAGGAGAAUGGCUUGAACCCGGGAGGCAGAGGUUGCGGUGAGCCAAGAUCGCACCAUUGCACUCCAGCCUGGGCAACAAGAGUGGAACUCCGUCUUAAAAAAAAAAAAAAGAAUUUUCCCACACCCUGAGCAGAAUAAAAACCACUGUUGAGAAUGUCUAUUUUAGGUAAUUAAUGAAGAAUGUAGGAGGGCAGUAUACACAUUGGUGAUGGGAAGUUUUCAUGUAGCAGCCAAGCUGUGGAAUGUUUGUUUAAACUGUCUUCGUUUUUGGAUGCUGGUUGCCAUAGCUUGCUUACGUGACUUGCGUUGGGCUUUGUAGUCAUAGAUUACAGGCUGUUGUUGCGACCCGGUUUGAUAACCUCCAGGAACUGUUUUACUUCUCAAAUCAUGCCUCAAUUCUGCCUGCCUUUUUAUUUCCUAUUGUGAAAAGAGUGAACAGCUCUUCAUCAGGCUGUUAACGAUCUCUAAACUUGGGUCAUUUUUGAGUCUCUGCAUUCUUUUGUGUCGGCAUUCACGUACCACAGUGUAUUUUACUAACUUUGGCAUUCACGUACCACAGUGUAUUUUACUAACUUUGGCAUUCACGUACCACAGUGUAUUUUACUAACUUUGGCAUUCACGUACCACAGUGUAUUUUACUAUCUUUUCCUUUCCCCUUUAGUCUUUCCAACUCCUACCUUCCUUGUGCAGUUCCCACAUUAUCUGUGAAGUGUUUCCUUUACCUGUUUGGCCAUGUCCUCUUCUGAAAUACUGCAAUACUGUCCAGCUUUUUUAGCACUUAAUACAAGCUUGGGGCAUUUAGUUGCUUCUCUUGGUCUUGUUUUCUGCACUAGAUUGUAAAUUUCAUGGGAACAAGAACCCUGUGUUAUCUUUACAUUUUCCACAGUGCUGAGCCUAGGGGAAAGUCAAUAAAUAUUUAACUUUUUACUGCAAAGUUAAUCAGCAAUGGCAGAAGUGCCUCUAAAAUUAGGUAUUUAGGAUCUUUUCAUUAGUUCUAGAUAAGCCUCAAAUAAGCAUAACUAAACUAUUCCUUUUUUUUUUUUUUGAGAUGGAGGCUUGCUCUGUCUCCUAGGCUAAAGUACCUCAGCUUUCUGAGAGUACGUGGGACUACGGGUGUGCACCACUCUGUAUGGCUAAUUUUUGUAUUUUUUAGUAGAGACGGGGUUUUGCCAUGUUGGCCAGCUGAUCUUGAACUCCUGGCCUCAAGUGAUCUGCCUGCCUUGGCCUCCAUAAAGCUGUUUUCUUUCUUUCUUUUCUUUUCUUUCUUUCUUUCUUUCUUUCUUUCUUUCUUUCUUUCUUUCUUUCUUUCUUUCUUUCUUUCUUUUUUUUUUAAGACUAGUCAAGUGCAGUAGUGAGAAGGGGGGAAAAACUGUUUUAUAUUAGAGAAAACCUAAUGCUAGGGUAUUUGAUGCACUGUAGUUAACAGUAACUGAAAUGGAUUCAAAUGAUGGAAAAAUUUAUUGAGAAAUUUUAUUAUGGAAGAUGAAAGUCUAAAUCUUUAUUCUGUAUAUGUUUUACUCAUUAAUGGUAAAGUUUGCUUCUAUCUAAGAUUGGUACAAUAGUAAAAUAUAAAAGUAAGUAUAAUUUAUAAAUAUUAAGUACAGACAUACAUCAGUUAAUGACUGGGAUACAUUCUGAGAAAUGGAUCAUUAGGUGAUUUUGUCCUUUUGCAAAAAAAAUCACAGAAGGUACCUACACAAACCUAGAUGGUGUAGCCUACUAUACAUCUAGGCUAUGUGGUGUAGCCUGCUGCUUCUAGGCUGCAAACCUGUACCGCACGUUACGGUACUGAAUAUAAUAGGUAAGUUUAACACAAUGGCAAGUAUUUGUGUAUUUAAACACUCAUAGAAAAGGUGCAGUAAAAACAUGGUAUUAUCAUCUUCUUUCCCUAUCUGCUCCACUGUUCACCAGAAUGUUGUUAUGUGGUAAAUGACUGUAUAUAUCUCACAGUACUAAGCCCAUGCCCUUCCACAUUUUUAUUUCUCAUCUUAUGGUUUUGCUGCUUCGUUUUGGGUUUUUUUUUUUUUUUGAGAUGGGUCUCUCUGUCUCUCAGGCUGGAGUGCAGUGAUGCUAUCUUGGCUCAUUGCAACCUCUACCUCCUGGGCUGAAGUGAUCCUCCCGCCUUGAUCUCCAGAGUAGGUGGGACUGCAGCAGGCUCACACCACCACACCCAGCCAAUUUUGUAUUUUUGUAGAGAUGAGGUUUCACCUUUUUGCUCAGGCUGGUCUUGAACUCCGAGGCUCAAGUGUUCUGCCCACCUUGGCUUCCCAAAGUGCUGAGAUUACAGGCAUGAGCCACUGUGCCCCGCCUGCUUCUUGGUUUUUUUUGGUUUCAUUUUAGUUCAGAAGCUUAGGUAAUUGCCAGACAGUUAUAAAGAUGGUUAUAGGAAGAAUCCCAUUUUAAAGAUCCUGACAUGAAACAUCAGAACUCUUUGAUGAUAUCCAAGCUGAUUUAAAAUAGUUUUAUAUAAUUUAAAGGAAAUUGAGCAUGGUGGCUCACACCUGUAAUCCUAGCACUUUAGGAGGCCAAGGUAGGAGGAACAUUUGGGCCUGGGAGUUAGAGACCAGCCUGGGCAACAGAUCAAGACCCCAUCUCAAAAAAAAAAAAAAAAGAUUAAAAUAAUAAAGAAGAAAAGGGGUAGACCGUCAAAAGAGAUCAGUCAGGGUUUUUUUUUUUCACAAAUGGGGAGCAGGAAGUUUUGUGCACAAGGAAUCUUAAAGUCUUUCAAAUGUGUUGGUAACUUGGGAAAAGAUGGAAAUGUUUAUUUCCCUUAAGAUAAUGUCCUUAUAUGUGGUUGCACUGUGACUUGAAAAAGGAUCCUAAGAUGUCACAGGAACAAAAGGUUGUGAUUGUCAGAGAAUAGUCAGAAAGGUCUGAUUCUGUGGCAGUGAGUACGGACAGAAAGUCUAGGAAAAGGUAGUAUUUACUGAGUUCUUGGUGGGAUUAAGUCAGGGCCGACUUUGGCUUCUUUAAUAAUGGAAUGGGGAAGUGGGGGAACUAUAAAAUGCAGAAAUGCUAGAACAUUGUUUUUGAGAUGAUAGGGAAGAGUAAUAAAACUGUGUUGAAGCUAUACUUUUUUUUUUUUUUUUUUUUUUUUUUUGAGAAGGAGUUUCGCUCUUGUUACCCAGGCCGGAGUGCAAUGGCGCGAUCUCGGCUCACCGCAACGUCCGCCUCCUGGGUUCAGGCAGUUCUCCUGCCUCAGCCUCCUAAGUAGCUGGGAUUACAGUCACGCGCCACCAUGCCCAGCUAAUUUUUUGUAUUUUCAGUACAGAUGGGGUUUCACCAUGUUGACCAGGAUGGUCUCGAUCUGUUGACCUCGUGAUCCACCCGCCUCGGCCUCCCAAAGUGCUGGGAUUACAGGCUUGAGCCACCGCGCCCGGCCGGUGAAGCUAUACUUUAAAAAAAAAAAAAACUUUUUUUUAGAGCCAUUUUAGAUUCACAGUAAAAUUGAGAGGAAAGUAAAAGAUUUCCCAUAUAUCUCCUGCCCCUGCACAUGCAUAACCUCUGGUACCAGCCUCCUGCUAAUCAGUGUCUACACCAAAGCAGUGCACUUGUUACAGCUGAUGAGCCUACACUGGCACGUUGUCACUCGAUGUUCAUGGUUUACAUUAGGGUUCACUUGUGGUGGUGUACAUUUUGUGGAUUUGGGCAAAUGUCACUUAGUAACAAGCAUUUAGGUUUCCACAUGUCUUUUUGUGGCUUGACAGCUUAUUUCUCUUUAGUGCUGAGUAGUAUUUCAUUAUGUGGAUGCACCACAGUUUAUUAAUUCACCUACUGAAGGACAUCUUGGUUGCUUUCAAGCUUUGUCAGUUAUGAAUAAAGCUGCUAUAAACAUCCAUGUGCAGGUUUUGUGUGGACAUAAGUUUUUACUUCGUUUGGGUAAAUACCAAGGAGCACAGCUCUAUGGUGUAAGAGUAUCUUUAGUUUUGUAAGAAACUGCCAAACUGUCUUCCGAAGUGUACCAUUUUGCUUUCCCACCAGCAGUGAAUGAGAAUUCCUGUUGUUCUACGUCCUUGUCAGCUUUUGGUGUUGUCGGUGUUCUGGAUUUUGGCCAUUCUAAUAGGUUUGUAGUGGCACCUCGUUGUCAUUUUAGUUUGUAUUUCUCCAGUGACAGAUGAUGUGGAGCAUCUUUUCAUACGCUAAUCUGUGUAUCUUCUUUGCUGAGGUGUCUGUUAAGGUCUUUGGCCCAUUUUAUUUUUUUUAUUUAUUUUUGAGAUGGAGUUUCACUCUUGCUGCCCAGGCUGGAGUGCAGUGGCGCUCACCGCAACCUCCGCCUCCCAGGUUCAAGCAGUCCUCCUGCCUUGGCCUCCCGAGUAGCUUGGAUUACAGGCAUGGCCACCACGCCUGGCUAAUUUUGUAUUUUUAGUAGAGACAGGGUUUCUCCAUGUUGGUCAGGCUGGUCUUGAACUCCCGACCUCAGGUGACCCACCCACCUCAGCCUCCCAAAGUGCUGGGUGGGAUUACAGGCAUGAGCUGCUGCACCCGGCUCGCCCAUUUUAAAAUCAGGCUAUUUUCUCUGAGUUUUGAGAGAUCCUUGUACAUUUUAGAUAACAGUCCUUUCAUCUGCGGUUUGUAAAGAGCAAAAAUUUUUAAUUUUGAUCAAGUCCAGCUUAUCAAUUCCUUCUUUCAUGCAUCCUGCAUUUGGUAUCUGAAAAGGCCAUUAACAAACCCACGUUCCUCUAGAUUGUUCUCCUGUGCCAUAUUCUAGGAAUUGUAUUGUUUUCCAUUUUCCCGUUAGGUUUACGAUCCAUUUUGAGUUCAUACUUGUGAAGGGUAUAAGAGCUGUGUCUAGAUUCUUUUUGUUUUUUUCAUGUGGAUAUCCAGUUUUUCUGCCACUGUUGGUUGAAAAGACUGUCUUUUCUCCAUUGUGUUGCUUUUGUCUUUUGACAAAGAUGGUUGACUGUAUUUAUGUGGUGCCAUUAUCUAUGCUCCCUAUUCUGUUCCAUUGAUCUCUUUUGUUCUUUCAUCAGUACCUGACUGUCUUGAUUCCUGUAGGUUAUAGGUGUACUUUUAAGCUUCAUGCAUAGAAUAUUUCCAUUCGCUCCUCCAGUUCAGGUGCUCAGACAUCCUGUCUUAAAAAUCUACCAUUUCCUCACACUUUUGCCGCAUCACGAGGAGCUUUUUUAGCCUUGUUAAUAGAUUUGGAGUUUUUGCCUGUAGGUGAUGGAAGCCAUUAAUUAGUUGUCAGAGAAGUAAGUUGAUCAUCUUUUCACUGUUUAGGUAAAUAACUUCUACUCCAGGCUGAAGAGCCACAGGAGUGGGGCUAGAAUAGAGGUAGGAAGAGCCCAUCCGAUAAAUCAGUGAAAGAGCAAAUCACCUAAUAAUGCAGUACAUGAGCGUGAAGUGAUUUAGAUGGCCUUUUGAUGUGCCUCCAUGUAAGAGUGAAACUUCUUAUUACAGAAUACAGUUUCUACCAGAAGAGAGCUAUGCUGUGUGGGAAUUGGAGGUGGGGGAGGCGGGUCAUGUGGCACACUCUGCUGAGGAACUUUGAAACAGCAUAUCCCUGGCUUUUCACCCUCAACUAGUGCCAGCAUGAAACACUGUUACUCAUGGCAAUCUGCUGUAUUCUCAGAUGGGGAACCAUUGCACUAGAGCAUGUCUUUUCUAAGAAAAUGGAAAUAUUAACCAGGAGAAUAAAGGACCACAGAAAUGAAACAGAAUUUCCUUGCAAGUUAAGUCUUGUUGGUUGGAGAGAGAAAUUUUUUUAACUGCCUGAACAGGUUUUGCUGAGAGACAUUUUAGCAUGUUUGUGUUUACUUUUUAAUGAACAGAAUUGAAACAGUAUCUGACAACUGUUAAGAUAUUUCUCGUUUGUUUAUUUCGGAGACUGAGUCUCACUUUGGCGCCCAGGCUGGAGUGCAGUGGCAUAAUCUCAGCUCACUGCAAUCUCCACCUCCUGGGUUCAAGUGAUUCUCGUGCUUCAGCCUCUGAGUAGCUGGGAUUGCAGGUGCCCUACCACACCCGGGUAAUUUUUGUAUUUUUAGUAGAGGUGAGGUUUCACCAUGCAGGCCAGGCUGGUUCUGAACUCCUGACCUCAAGUGAUCUGCCUUCCCAAAGUCUUGGGAUUACAGACGUGAGCCACCGUACCUGGCCAAUAUUUCUCUUUUGAUUUUGAAUUCUGUUGUUUUCAGAACAUGCUCAAAAAAAGAGUUAAACUUGAGACCACAGGUAUGGACAGGUCUAGGUAUUCAGUCUGUGUGGCUGUUUUGCCAGGUGCUAUAAAUGCUGCCUGAGUGUAUUCUGAUACCAGGCUAGCCCAAGUGGCCAAUGAUAGGAAAUGAAGAACUAUGUGAAAGAACUGGAAUUUCAGGUUUGGGUAGUGAGUAAUUGUGGCCCUGCCUUCAGAGUCCUGGAACUCUUCACCUGGGUGUCAGCAAAAAGGCAAAUACAUAGAGCAGUCAGUCUGCUUAGUUGGGUCAUGUUGAUUUGUAUUAUCAGCAUGGUUGAAGCUAAGGUGAGCUUGAACAAGUAGCCAAGACCUGUUUCAGGUUUGCUUAAGUCACCAGAAGCCUGACUGAGACACUCUAAAAAUCAUCAGUCUGUACUUUAUUUACAUGAAAAUAAAACUAUACUUUUGAUAAAGUCCUCAGUACUUCCCUCUGCUUACUCCCCCUCAAUUAAAAAACACCUAAGUUAAACUAAAGAACCUGGCCAGAUGCAAUGGCUCAUGCCCAUAUAAUCCCGGCACUUUGGGAGGCCAAGGUGGGAGGAUUGCUUGAGCUCUUAAGUUUGAGAUCAGCCUGGAUGAGUUGGGAGACCCCUUCUCUACAAAGGAAAUUAUGAAAAAUUAGCCAGGUAUGGUAGUGUCCACCUUCAGCCCCAGCUACUCAGGAGCCUGCAGUGGGAGGACCGCUUGAGGCCAGGAGGUUGAGGCCAUAGUGAGCAAGGAUCAGGCCACUGCACUGCAGCCUGGGCAACAACGAGACUCUGUCCCUAAAAAAUAAGUAAAAAUUAGCUCCUUGCUCGCUCAGUGCUGGCUCCUUGCCCACUGGGUGCUGAAGUUGGGCAAAUGCCACAAACCAGCUCCACUAGAGGACUGAGCUGCGGAGCCCCGCUCCCCUGGGCCCAUUGGUGUGCUGCCCACACCUUCAGGUGACAGGCCCAUUGGUGUGCUGCCCACACCUCCAGGUGCCAGGCCAGUUGGGUACUGAAGUAGCCGAAAUGCGGAAAAGGCAGCAGUUCCAAAAUGAAGGAACCCCUGCUGUGUCUCAAGCGCCUGGAAACCAGAGGCCCAACAACACCUGUUGCUUUUGUUGGUGCUGUUGUUGCAGCUGCUCCUGCCUCUCUGUUAGGGAUGAAGAGGGGAAAAUGCGGGAAGACCCACAUGCACUACAGAAAUGGGGAGCCUCACGUCCUAGAGGAAUGCCAAAGCCCCACUGCAGAGGAAGUCUUGUCCUGGUCUCAACAUUCUGACAAGAUGAUGAAGGCCCCAGAAGGAAGAAACCUUUUCAGAGACUUCCUCCGAACAGAAUACAGCGAAGAGAACCUACUUUUCUGGCUUGCCUGUAAAGACUUAAAGAGCAGAACAAAAAAGUAAUUGAAGAAAAGGCGAGAAUGAUAUAUGAAGAUGACAUUUCUAUGUUAUCACCAAAAGAGGUCAGUCUUGAUUCUAGAGUUAGAGAGGUGAUCAGUAGACAUCUGUUGGAUUCAGAUCCUCACCUAUAUAGCCCUCUCCAGACCCAAGUGACAUAUUUUCCGAUGAAUUCAAGGGGGUGUUCAAGACUUUGACUCUAAUGAAAACACUUUAAAAGGCAAAAUGUUGCCCUGAUAGAAGGUCGCAGUUGGGAACUGAUUUGAUUCCUAUGACAAAAGCUCCAAGAUGAGUAAGGAAAAGGAACACGAUCAAGCAUUGAUGACACUAACCAAAUGUAUUUUUUAUAUGUCAUAUAUGCAAUGUGAAAUUCAUUCCCCCCUCAUUAUUUCUCUUGAACUCCUUACCUCAGAUGCUCCACCCACCUCGGCCUCCCAAAGUGCUAGGAUUACAGGCAUGAGCCACCGCGCCUGGCCCUCAUUAUUUCUCAUAUUAAUGUCACAAGGCAACAAACCAUUUCAUUGCAUUCAAUGUUCUCAUAAUUGAAAAGGAAAACGUUUCAUUUAAAAUUUUCAUUUAAAUUUUUUCAAAUAUUCAAUAAAUUGAAGAAGGUUGAGAAAAAGUUUAAAACUGUGUUUCUGCAAUCUAAACAGGUACCAUAUAUUUACUAUAUUUUAGGUAGCUAUGCAAGAUAGCUACUUAAAAUUAAGCAUUCUUUUAUUUUUAAUUACUUUUUUUGAUUGUUGAAUUCUUUAUUAAUUCAAAACAUUUUAAGAAACGUUCUCAAUCUAAAAAGUGUGAAAUCACAGGAUCUUAGAGCUGAAAAAGGUCUCAGGAUUACCUUGGACAACAUAUUCGCUGAAAAGAUAAAGAAUUUAGGACUAGAGCAUUCUGAUUUCACCAUAAACAACUGGUACCACAGUAACCUGAAAGGAGAGUGACGAUUCUUUAAAAAUACAUUUACGAAUUCCUGAGUUUAAUAUCCUUGUGUCUAAAAACCGCUUUAAAGGAAUCUUAAAUUUACAUUCAAUCAGCGAUCAGUUUUGACUAUCCUAUUUUUUUAGUGCCUGAAAUCUUUUAUAAUAAAUUAAACAAAAGGAACCAUUUGAACUGGUUAUGGUAGCUAGUAAUGUGGCUGAGGGUUUUGUGUUUACAGUCAAUGAGGUCAUUUUGUUUGGAACGGGGCAUAAUGGGACUCCACGUUAGGGAAGCUGGCCAGAAUGAAGUCCUGGCCUUGAAGAAACAGAUUUAUUAAAAACACGCCUAACUUUUAAGCACUGGAAUGGAAUUAUACUAUUGUUGAUAAUGGGUUAUGAUGUUCUUUUUUUUUUGGAGUCUAGCAAAUAGCUGUGGUAAUGGAGACUUCCAAGGAGUACAGAAAUGAGACUUAAGGAAUAAUUAGUUACCUGGCAUGCACCUGUUACGUAUCUCUUGCAUAUACUUGGAGCGUUAAAGAAGCUAAUGUUAAUUCAGUGCACGUUAUGUGUCAAGUAUUCUGCACAUGCAUUUUUGCAUCUAAUCUUCACAAUAGCUCUGCGUUUUGGUAUUAUUUACUUUACCCAUUUUACAGAAGGAGGAAACUUGAGACUGAUACUACCUAUAUUAUGGAAUGAGGACACUGAGACACCAAGUAAGUAACGUGUCCAAGGUCACACUGCAGAAGAUGGGCACCCAAGCAGUCUGACUCCAGAGCCUGUUCUCUGAACUGCUUUGUGUUACUAUUUUACCUUAACUACAAAGCUUGUUUUGGGGAUGAGAGGUUAGGAACCUUGUUGAUAAGUAUACCUGUGGCAUGUCUCCUUGGAGAAUAAAAUGAGCCAGCCUGAGAUUUUUUUAUCUGAUAGAUGCCUGCCUGGAUGCCCUCUUUCUAAUCCGAGUGCCCAUUUUUUUUUCCCCAUCUAAGAGCAUAUUUGAGGAAUUAGAUGAUGUAUUUAGUUUUGGACAUGUUUUUUACACACUGUCUUCAAGAGGCGCUGAUAUAGACUUGUCUGAUAGACAAUUUGGUGACUGGAUUUGGAGCUCAGAACCUGAACCUGGAGUUGGAGAUUUAAAUUGUUUUUUAUAUAUGUAUUUACUUAAUCUAUAUAAUAAACUGUUAUAGCAGAAAGGACGUUGGUGGAUUUAGAGGCCUGGCUGCAUGGUUUUAGAGACAGUCCUGAUUUAGGAAACAAGAAUUCCAAUUUUAGUUCUGUUUUUCUUGUAGACUGUAAGAACUUGGCCACCCCAAUUUACUGAUGAAAAAUGGAAUCAUUAAUUUAGAUCUUCAGUCUUGUCUAUAACUGAAAAGAAUUGUAAGAUACCUGAACUUUGUAAUUUAAGUAUCUUUGAUAUCUACAGGUGCUCCCUCUGGAUCAGGUAUCAGAAAAUGUAUUCUCAAGAACCUCCUUGAUGCUGUAGGGUAUAUAAGUACACGAGGGAGAGGAGGAGGAGCAGGAAAGAUGUCAGAGCGUCAAAGACAUGACUAAACCAAUAAAAUGCUUUUCUUUAUGUACACAUUUUCAGUUUAUGGACCUCUCCAUAGAAAUGAGCAAAAGCUACAUGCCAGCAAAGGUGUCUUCUGCCUCAAUAAGUGGCUUGUGAUUGUGGGGAGCCAUUUUCAGUUUUGAUUUAUUACUGUUGGUUUUUAGUAUGUACUAUAAGGUGUGGGUAUAUUGAUUGCUUAUUCUGACUUUUGAGAUUUCUGAAAGACAACUGUUAAAGCACAGUAGCAGUGUGGAAGUGCUGAUAGAAAACAGCACACGAUAGCAGUCAAAAAGAAAGUAAAACUUAAAUUUCCGUAGAUGUAUUCACCUUGGCCCUUGGGACAAUGUCAUUUUGCAUUUGUGAACAAAUGCGUUUUGAAAUAGCCUUUUGGAACCUAAUCUUUUACAGAGAAACGUCUGUAUCAGCAAACAUCCCUUGAUUCUGGUUAUAUUUUCUUACUGUGGCUUUUCAAACUUACGAUAAUAGUUUCCUCUUUACCAGGAAUAUGUCAGUCAUUCUUUUUUUAAAUAAAGGAUAUUAGUAGAAAUAGUUUAAAUAUCUAGUGAUACUUAUUUAUUAAACACAGACUCUCACUAUGUAAGGCAAGCUGGAGUGCAGUGGCAGUCGUGGCUCACUACAGCCUUGAACUCCUGGGCUCACGCGAGCCUCCUGCCUCAGCCUCCUGAGUAUCUAGGAUCACAAGUGCACACACACCAACACAGCCAGCUAAUUUUUUUUUUUUUUUUUUUUUUUUUGUAGAGGUGAGGUCUUGGUAUGUUGCCCUGGCUGGUCUCAAACUCCUAGUCUCAAGUGACUUCUUCCCUACCAGCCUCCCAAAAUCCUGGUGUUACAGCUUUAAGCCACCAUGCCUGACCUGAUAAGAUAUUUAAAACAGUAUCUGUUAUCAGUGUAAUCCUUUUUGUAAUCACUGUGGGCACACAGGUUUGGGAAAUACAGAAGAAAUUUUAGACAAAGGUUAUUUCCCCAGAAGAGGUUUUGCUUCAGUUGUCUUGGUGCUUGGCACAUUGCCUUGCAAAUAAUUGGCACUCAAACAUGUAUUCACUUGAAUUCAGGGGACGCAGUUUUCGAAUUUGAGACAGUGUACUACAAUGAAUCCUAGAUUGGUUGUACGGGCAGUAAUUGCUGUGUUUUUGAAGGGAGCACCCUUACAGUUUGAGGCAGAGAUGUUGGGAGGCUUUGUGAAAUAAAUGGGGCUUGAGUAUUGAGUGGAAAAGAUGGGAUUGAAUGCUGGCAAGUAGAAGUGGGCGGGUACUGCAGGCAUGGGAAAUAACAGAAGUUGAGAAAAGAGGCAAGAUUGAAUAGUUUGUGUGGAGGAGCAUUAGGCAGGCCUGGUGUAGAGGAAUUGGGUUGGAUAAUAAUCUAAGGAAAAAGGUAUUGUCAGUAAUACCUGCACAAGGCCAAAUACGUCCAUCUGUGAUCUGUUUGGAUCAAAACACUUUUUCCUCUUCUAGAUAUGGUACAUGGCUCAAAAAUCACCUGAAUGUGCUAGGAAUACAUUUGGAGUUGAACUUGCUGUUAAAAGGGAGUGGAUGAGAGUGGGAAAUGUGCUGGGUUGGAAUUUGGUGUAGUAACUGGAAAUAUCAUCUGACUUGGAGUCUUAAUUCUUACUUUAUUUUGAGUUCCUACUGGGAAAAUCACAAUCACCCAUGAUGGCCGUGAAAGCCCAGAACACAUAGGGACUUGUCUCUGCAGAAAUUAGGAAAUGCUUAAGUGAUUUGGCACAUACUAGCUGGAUUUACGUUUUCAAGGAAACUGAUUCACCAGGUCAGCUUUGUCUCCAAACUUGUCUCUUUAAAUUAUUAGGAAAUUACUGGCCAUCCUUUCCUUGGAGUCAACUAAAGUGUUUGUAUUAAAAUUAUAAAUGGUCAUUCAAAGAACUAGAUGCUACUUAAUGUGAUUAUUUUUCUGUCUUUGUCUUUUCAUACCACGUUUAUGGCCAUAAUCAUUUGAUGAAAAUUUAAUAAGAUUGUGAUUAAAAACCUAAAGAAUUUUUUCCUUUUCCUUCUGUUAGUAUCUAUAACUUUUUAAAACAAUAGGCAGAC